GCCUACGCCUGCCCUCCCUCUCGCUACAGCCCCGUUGCCCUCCACCUCUGCCGUCGCUGCCCUCCCCUCGCGAUGCCGCAGCCAGCGAGCCGAUCCGCGCCGCCGCCGCCAUUGCGUCGUCCAGCCAUCCCCACUCCUCUUGACACCCUUCCCCUCGCGUCGCCACCGCCGUCCUCUCGCGCCACCGCAUUGCCCAUCCUUCCUGCUAUCCCUCCCCACUGCCGUGGGGCCUAGAUCUGGCGGCACGAGCGCACGGCCAGCGGAUCACCGCGGCCUACGGGGUCAGCAGCUGCGGUAGGAGGGCAAGGCACGCGUGGAUCUUGGUGCGAGCAUACCGUGAAGGCCUUCAAGUCAACGCGACCGGGGCGAAGCGGCUGCCGGGUCGAUGGCCGCAAGCUAGAGAUUUCAUCGAUUUCAAUUUGGGCGUUCGAUUCAUCUCUGCCGAUAGCAUGAGAUCCCAAUCAUCACAUGUGGGAGUCUAUUGACUGAGGCAAUGUGCUCAUGCCAUAUCCGUUACGCCUGCAAAAGACUUUCAUGGACCCUAAGACCAGCACUUCUUUUGUCAGGACUGUUGCAUUGGUGCUAAUCCUCUCUAGAAGGCAAAACUGGCCAAGCGAGCUUCAAUGCUAAUGCAUGUCAAAUGGGAAAGAUAAUCCUCACUAGAAGGCAAAUGAGCUUCAAUGCUAAUGCAUGUCGGGGCUGGGUGAGAUUAUUUCCUUCUUUUAUUUCUCUUUAGUGCAUGCCCCAUGCUUUAAGGACUAAGGAAUGUCAUAGAACAUUUGUUGAUUGAGGGACUGAGGGGUAAUAAUUUCAGAAUAUCUAACCUGUGCAUAUGUUUGGUUCAAUUCCGAGUGCGUUGCCAAGGCUGUCAUAUCCCAUUCCAUGCAAAGGUCAGUAGUAGUGUUUUUACAAGAGCUGAAUGAAUCAUCCUCUAAGCCAUGACAUGACUUAAAUAUUGUGAGUGAACAAGAGGUUAACUUGUUCUUCUAAAUUAGGAAAGCUAUGAUCACAUUGAUAAUAUAGUGCUGUUUGCACAGGUUGCUGUUCUAAAGAAGCCAGCUGUAUCGAUGAUAUCGAAUACAAAAUUGCACUAUUCAUGUUAUUCUGAAUUAGCAAGCCAUGAUCACUUGGUGACUUGUGCUUUCUGGUAGCGUUUUGUGACUUGCGAGCUAUGUCCAGUGUGAUAGUGUUCAGUUUCAGAGUUGAACAGAUUGAUUUCAGAUACAAUGCGUAUGCACAUUACUUUUAUUUACGGAGUGCUAUCAAUUUUUUCCAUAACUGAUUUGGAACUGGUCCCGUCUUUCUUUGACAACAACAUACUGUUUAACUCCAGUGUCCAAUUAAGGGUCAGAGUGCGUGCGUGAAUGUGAACGUCUUCAUUUUUACUGUGAUUUGCAAAAAAAAUCGAGAUCUAUUAAUUGCAAGGUGUACUGUCUGCAACGACGAAGUUAGCAGAGGAGCAGCCUGGAGUGAAUUGGCUUUAGCAGGAGCCCUCUAAUGUUAAGAUGAUUUUAUUUCUUUAUUGCUGAUUUGGGAGUGCAUGUGAAAAAAAAUUGGAAAGAGAUUUGGGUUAGUUUUCACACUCCACCUAUUUCAAAGUGAAGUGGAAAGUUGAAUAUUUUAAAUUUUUAUAAUUUCUAAGCUGCUGCUAGCUAUGACUUUUUUGAGUUUUUUUAAAACUUCAUAGAGGCCCUCUUCAUUCCUUUUAAAACAUUUUGUUAGACAUGGUUCUUUCUUGCUUGUAUAAUCACCAUAUCAUGUUAUUG